UAAAAUACAACUGGUACUGUCUUUCUAUUUUAUUUAAAAAAAUGUUAAAUGGUUCUCCAGUGUGAUUGUUUUAUAUCAAGGUGUAAAAAGAGUAUAACUAAAGGAAAAAAGGAAAAAAAGGAAGUUCUGGCAUUUCUAGUGUUAAAAGAAUUCUAUAGAGGAUAAUCGACUUUCAUAGCCCGGUUACAGAAAGGAUGUGGAAGAGCUGAAGUAGAACGUGUCGACAGAAGCAACUGGCACAAAUUUCGAUUACGUUGCAAUCCUAUAUGAAUUCCUGUACAUUUUAAAAACACUCGACAUACAGAUUAUACGAGCGACUCACUGUAUAGGAACAGCAUCGUUUACACGGAAAAAACAAACGUAUAGCACGAGGCGGUUUUAAAUAACGUCAGCGUAAAAAUUAGAAUUACCGAGUGACGUAUACUUUAUUGAAACAAGUGUUCUUGCUAAAUCUGGCGCGUCACGAUAAUAAGUCGAGUAAAUUGACGUGAACGUUUUUACAUCUAUUUCGAAUACAAUAAUAUGUUGGGCAGAUAAUUUGUAUUGUUGUAUUGUUGUAUUGUUGUAUUGGAAGUAGAGGAACCUUAUCUUAAAAACGUACCACAUAUACUAAAUGCGAGAAGUUGUUUAAAAAAAUGUAAAUAAGCGUAAUUUGGAAAGUGUAGCAAAAUCAUUGAAAAUACUUAUCUUAGUAGCAUAAAUACAUCGCAGAAGAUUUAGCCACGUGAGCGCGCGGUGUCCGAUUACUGAUGUAGCUGAAAUUUCAUGCUCUUCCUUCCUCUGUUUAAUCCCCGAAAUAAUAAUUACACAUAACAAAAUAGGAGUCGAGUUGAUCACGUAAAACAAAGAUACAAUCACAAGCGCGUAAAUAGUUGAUAUAUGUAUAACUGUAUAAGAUUAUAGAUUGGAAUAUCCUUGACGAGUCGCGCACCUGGAACCGGCAAGUGGGUCACUGUCAUUCCUUUUGAACGAUUUUCGAAGAGGAAGUCGCAAGCGGAUAAGGUGUCUCCAUCUCUGGCACGACUGGCACGCUGCUGGCCGCGAAGUUGACGUUGCAAAGUGCUGGAAAGAACUGGCCAACCAGAAGCCAACGAAACAAGAUUCCUACUAUUUCUUCCUCCUCUUGAGUCCACCGUUGCCUUCUGUUUCCUUGCCUUCCUUUAACUUUCUUCGACUUGUCUUGUGUUGCCUUGUCUUACCUUCCUUUGUCUUGUCUCGUAUCGUCUUGUUUUGCUUCGCCUUGCAUCGCCUUGCCCUGCCUUGCUUUGCCUCACUUUGCUCUGUUAACGUCACCGUAUUUACCUACCUACGCGAUCAUCGUGUCGUAGUUCGUCAUCUAACUUGUGUAGCAUCUGACGUCAUUCGAAAACUCAAACAACGUCAGAAACACCAUAUUAAUAUAUGCAUUAUAAUAUAAGACAUUAGAUAAGGCUUUACGAUGAUUAAACGCCAUUAAAAUUAAUGAUGAAAUAUCAUACAGUACACAUUAGUUAUAAUGAGAUGUUAUUCGUAUGAUAAUGGUUUUUCGAAUAUUCUACUUGUAUACCUUUUAUAGUUAUAUUUUUUUAUUACAUUUCAUCAAUAUUUCAAAUUCUUCUUCCUUUACUGAUCAAAAUAUGUAUGCAUAUAUAAUAUAAGGAAUUACAGCAUGAUUCGUAUCUGAUGUAACGUGAUUGUAACGGUAUAUAUGAUUUUAAAUUGCUUACAAUGAUUUAUAUACACAAUGUUUUAGUUCGAUUAGCAAACUGAAUAAAUGAUCAAUUGCUACAUGAUAAUAAAAAUAAAAUAAUGUUAUACGAUAUUAUUAUUAUAAAUAAUAGUAAAAUAUUGUGAAAAUAACAGUAAAAAUAUAAAAGUUGAUUAUAUAAGAUUCAAUAAGAUUAUUGAAAUUCACAAUCAAAUGUGAAAUGAUCAGAUAAUUUUGGAGAUGAUGCCUGAAGCUUGUAAUUAGCUAUGCGCAUCGCUUUAAUUUACGUAGUUAGAGACAAAAGAAAAAAUAUUUAGCCAGCUACUUUACUAACAGAGUAAAAAUUUGGGUAUUCAUGGUUUUGGCAUAAAAGGGAUAAAUCUGAAAGAUGACAGAUCGGUUAGAAAACGUUUGCAAUUUAUUUUCAAUAUCGUAUUUAUCGAAAUUAAUGCAUAAAAGCAGUGUAUACUGUAUAAGAAAUUUAGCAUUAUACAUCAAGAAUGCGACAUCUUAAUAAACAAUCUCUUGUUCUUUUUACGUGCGUGUUUGAUGCAAAACUAUCCUAAAAUAAUCCUAAAUGUCGAAAUAAAAGUUUAAUAAACGUGCACUUAAAAUUUAAUUUUUCAAAAUUGUAAGCAAUCAAAAAGUACAUAUAUAGUUAAUAUGUGUGAUUAAAAAUUCUUGAGAAAUAGAAAUGAAAAAAACGAAGAAAGAGUAAUGAAAGAACGAUAUACGCAAGGGACGAUUUGUGAAUGGAUCGAGAAGUAAAAUUGCGUAUGCUUACCGGAUUUGUUAUUGGUCCGAUUGUGUCCGACUGUUCGACUAUCCGGCUGCUGGUGUUGUACAUACAUACAUGCAUAUAGUAUAUAGCACUGUUAGCUCGGUUAACCUGGCCCAGAAACUAAGCCGGAACUACUGGAGGAAUCAAUGACCUUGGCACGAGUAACGCCAGGAUAUGCGAGGAAGAAAGUUCAAUUCGUAUUUGCUGUGCUAUGGAGCGGAAUCAAAAAUUUCACGCGUGCAAGUGAUUAAAUUUUUAUUCGGAAUAAAGAUGAUACAAUAUGAAAGUAGAGAUUUUGAGUUAUAAUAGAAUUUUAAAUAUGUGUCCAAAAAUAAUAGAAAGUUAAGUUUUAAUUAAUUUGCUUCAAUUUUCUAUGUUGUUUUGUUAAUUGGAUUCCUUAAAAUAAAAUAAUUUAAGCCAAGGGAAAUAUACAAUUUCUUAUUCCUUGAUAUACAUUUCUUUCGUUAUACUACGGGACACUUUUUUCGGGAAAAGUAAACGGGAAAGUAAAAAAAAUGGAAUUUAUUUUGUUAGUUAUAUUAUCGUUAUUAAUUAGCUAUAUAUUUUAUCGAAAUAUUUUAU